ACACAUGCAGUCGAGGGGUAGAAUUAGCUUGCUAAUUUGAGGCCGGCGCACGGGUGCGUAACGCGUAUGCAAUCUGCCUUGUACUGAGGGAUAGCCCAGAGAAAUUUGGAUUAAUACCUCAUAGCAUUAUGAAAUCGCAUGGUUUUAUAAUUAAAGUUCCAACGGUACAAGAUGAGCAUGCGUCCCAUUAGUUAGUUGGUAAGGUAACGGCUUACCAAGACGAUGAUGGGUAGGGGUCCUGAGAGGGAGAUCCCCCACACUGGUACUGAGACACGGACCAGACUCCUACGGGAGGCAGCAGUGAGGAAUA
rnacentral:rRNA from 1 species